GCCUACGGGAGGCAGCAGUGGGGAAUAUUGCGCAAUGGCCGAAAGGCUGACGCAGCGACGCCGCGUGAGUGAUGAAGGCCUUCGGGUCGUAAAGCUCUGUGGGGAGGGACGAAAAAGCACUGGCCAAUAUCCAGUGAACUGACGGUACCUCCUUAGCAAGCACCGGCUAACUCUGUGCCAGCAGCCGCGGUAA
rnacentral:rRNA from 1 species